rnacentral:rRNA from 1 species
CCUACGAGAGACAGCAGUGAGGAAUAUUGGUCAAUGGCCGGAAGGCUGAACCAGCCAAGCCGCGUGAAGGACGAAGGUGCCAAGCAUUGUAAACUUCUUUUGUCAAGGGACAAAAUCAGGCUCGAGAGCCUGACCAAGGGUACUUGAAGAAAAAGCAUCGGCUAACUCCGUGCCAGCAGCCUCGGUAAUACGGAGGAUGCGAGCGUUAUCCGGAUUUAUUGGGUUUAAAGGGUGCGGAGGCGGGCUGUUAAGUCAGCGGUAAAAGCCCGGGGCUCAACCCCGGGGAGCCGUUGAAACUGGCUGUCUUGAGAUGGCGAGAGGUAUGCGGAAUGCUCAGUGUAGCGG